rnacentral:rRNA from 1 species
UACAGAGGGUGCAAGCGUUGUUCGGAAUUAUUGGGCGUAAAGGGUGCGUAGGCGGUUUGGUAAGUCUUGUGUGAAAUCUACAGGCUCAACUUGUAGUCUGCACGAGAAACUGCCGGGCUUGAGUAUGGGAGAGGUGAGUGGAAUUCCUGGUGUAGCGGUGAAAUGCGUAGAUAUCAGGAGGAACACCUGUGGCGAAAGCGGCUCACUGGACCAUAACUGACGCUGAUGCACGAAAGCUAAGGG